AUUUGGUUUCAAUUUUUUUCUUUAAUUACACAGUAAUUGCUAUGUUUUGGAUGUAUAUGCCCCUAUGAAAUUCAUAUGCUAAAAUCUAAUGACUAAGAUGAUGGUUUAGAAGGUGGAGCCUCUGGUAGUGAUUAGGUCAUGAGGAUCAAUGAGGGCUCCAGCCUUGUGAACAGGAUUAACGUCCUUACAAAAGGCUGCAGAGAGCGGCCUCGCUCUUCCCCUCUUCCACUGUGAGGAUGCAGCAAGAAGGCGCCAUGUUGGAAGCACAGAGCAGCCCUCACCAGAGACCGAGGCUGCUGGGGCCCUGAUCUUGGACUUCCAGCCUCCAGUACUGUGAGAAAUAAAUUACUAUUACUUACACAUUACCCAAUCUGUAGUAUUUUGUUACAGCAGCCCAAAUGGACUGAGACAGUAAUCUACAAUCAUGGAGCUCAUACAAUGUUUUAUAUUUGUAGAUAUUGAAAUAACAUUAUUAUAGAAAUGAAAAUGAUGGCAACAUGUUGAGAGCUGGAGCCUGCAAUAACUUUUCAAGAACAUGAAGGGGUCCAUCCAUCACUUGGGUUUGAGGAACAGACAGCGGAGGACCCUGCCUCAUCUCCUUCCGCUCCACGACGUCUCAUGUCAAGAGCUGCUCGGCUUCUUUUGCUCCUCUCUCCUCUUCAGCAUAUCAGCCCUUAUUCUUCUGUUACUGUGACUCCAUACUUAGCUCUUGAGCACCUUAGCGGGGGUGUCCUUCUUGGGAAAAGUUUUGGAACCCUAAUUUAGUCCAAUUACCAUAAUUUACACAUGAAGGAACUGGGGCCCAGAUGGAUAAAGUGACUCAUUCAAGGGCACUGGAGAUUGGAGCUGGCUCUCCUGAUCCAAAGCCCAGAGCAUAGAUCCCCAGGAAAAGCACAGGGAAGCAGCACUUGCUACUUCCCACAGACCUGCUAAUUUCCUGUUUCAAAAUGGGAGCAAGGCUAGACCACAGUCAUGGGUGCAAGGCAUUAUAAGAGGCAUGGCACAGUCUGUUCCCAGAAAUGCACCAUUGAUUUGAACACCCAAAUGGCUAGGAAUAUUAAGAGCUAAUCCAAACCAUCAGAACUGCUGGCUCCAACUCUAGCAAAGAAAAAUAAACAAAAUCUUUCUAAACUUAGAAAUGGUUCAGGAUUAUUUUUCUUUUUUUUUUCCAGCUCAUCAAAGAUUAGCUGUAGAGUUCUCUCCACCCACCUCCAACACAGUGAUUAAAGGUCCAGCAUUGCUGGCCAGCUAAGACGCUGGCUGACAAGAAGAACUAUGCUUACAUAAAUAUGGAAGAUUGAACUGAGCGCUUAUACUGCUUGACAGAGUGAUUAGUCUGAAUAACAACAAGGAGAAAGAGAAACAGAAGCUUGACUUCAUCUUUAAUGAAACUGGGUGGCAUGCAUAAACCAUAGUUGCAAUGCAUGAAGACUGAAGGAGGCCGGGUGCAGUGGCUCACACCUGUAAUCUCAGCACUUUGGGAGGCCAAGGUGGGCGGAUCACCUGAGGUCAGGAGUUCGAGACCAGCUGGGCCAACAUGGUAAAACCCUGUCUCUACUAAAAGUACAAAAAUUAGCCAGGCAUGAUGGCGGGUGCCUGUAAUCCCAGCCACUUGGGAGGCUGAGGCAGGAGAAUUGCUUGAACCUGGGAGGCAGAGGUUGCAGCAAGCUGAGAUCGUGCCACUGUAUUCCAGCCUGGGUGACAGAGCCAGGCUCCAUCUCAAAAAAAAUAAAUAAAUAAAGACUGAAGGUGGAUGAAUGAGUGACAACAGACAGCAGAACGGAGUACGGUGAAGGCUUCAGGGAGGAUGUGAUGAGAAGCAGGAUAGCUGGUACCUUCAGGACUUUGGGAAGCCUUGAGAAUCAGAGGUGCUGGGUAAUGUAGAAGACAGGUAAAAUCAGAAAUGAGAAAAGAGAAAAAGAGAAAAUUGUGGAGAAGAAAAUAUCAAAGAAGUAAUAUUUAAAAAUUUCCCAGAAUUAGAGGCUUAAGUUUCCAGAUUGAAAGGGCCCACUGAGAGAUAAACCAAUGAAGGAGAAGAAGACACUCAAAAAAGCAAGUCAGUGUGAAAUUUCAGAACACUAAGGAUAAAAAGAAGAUCCCAAAACGUUCUGGAAUGGGGAGGGAUAGAGUGUACUAACAGGUCCCACACAAAGGGUUAGGAGUAAGCAGGAUAGCUGAUUUCUCAAUAGCAACACUAAGCGAAAAGACAACGGAGAAAUGUCUUCAACAUGGUGAAGGAAAAUGACUUUCAACCUAGAAUCUAUACCUAACCAAACUAUUAACCAAACCAAGCAUUAGAGUUGAAAAGAGAUAUUUUCAGACAUGCAGCAUCUCAAGAAAAAAAAAAAAAAAAGACCUUCCUGCACCCUUUCUCAGUGUAUUCUCAUGUCAUACUGAAGGGUGUGUUGCACUGAAAUGAAGAAGAAAACCAAGAAAAAGGAAGACAUAGCAGCCAGGUAAGAGGAAGUGCAACACAAGAGAACUACGAAAGGGAUUCUAGGAUGACAGCGAGCAUCAGGUCUAGAGCGUAAACACUCUAUAUUAGAACAAUAGGAGACUGUGCUCUGUGAGGGAGAUCUCUAGGGAAAUGAAACUGAUUAUUUCUCUGGCUUGACUAUAGGGAAACUGUAUUGAGGGACUGUGAUAGGGGC
rnacentral:lncRNA from 10 species